AGAUCAUUUUGGGGACAAUUUCUUAGCAACCGAAUGUAUCGUUCCCAUGCUUCAUACAAUGAUUCCCCCGCUUGUUGUUCAAAAUUGGCUAUGACCUUAUUAAUUUU